UCCUUCGACGUUAGCGGCGGACGGGUGAGUAACACGUGGGCAACCUACCUUAUAGUUUGGGAUAACUCCGGGAAACCGGGGCUAAUACCGAAUAAUCUGUUUCACCUCAUGGUGAAACACUGAAAGACGGUUUCGGCUGUCGCUAUAGGAUGGGCCCGCGGCGCAUUAGCUAGUUGGUGAGGUAACGGCUCACCAAGGCGACGAUGCGUAGCCGACCUGAGAGGGUGAUCGGCCACACUGGGACUGAGACACGGCCCAGACUCCUACGGGAGGCAGCAGUAGGGAAUCUUCCACAAUGGGCGAAAGCCUGAUGGAGCAACGCCGCGUGAGUGAAGAAGGAUUUCGGUUCGUAAAACUCUGUUGUAAGGGAAGAACAAGUACAGUAGUAACUGGCUGUACCUUGACGGUACCUUAUUAGAAAGCCACGGCUAACUACGUGCCAGCAGCCGCGGUAAUACGUAGGUGGCAAGCGUUGUCCGGAAUUAUUGGGCGUAAAGCGCGCGCAGGUGGUUUCUUAAGUCUGAUGUGAAAGCCCACGGCUCAACCGUGGAGGGUCAUUGGAAACUGGGAGACUUGAGUGCAGAAGAGGAUAGUGGAAU
rnacentral:rRNA from 1 species